rnacentral:misc_RNA from 2 species
AACGCACCUUGCGCCCUCUGGUAUUCCGGAGGGCAUGCCUGUUUGAGUGUCAUGUAGACUCAAUCCCUCGGGUUUCCGAGGAGAUUGGACUUGGGUGUUGCCGCUUCUGCCGGCUCACCUUAAAAGACUUAGCGGGAUAGCACCGUAGUCGGCGUAAUAAGUUUCGUCGGUGAAGGUUGUGAUGACUGCUUACAAUCGCCCUCGGGCAAUUUUUGACUCUGACCUCAAAUCAGGUAGGACUACCCGCUGAACUUAA